GUGGGGAAUUUUGGACAAUGGGCGCAAGCCUGAUCCAGCAAUGCCGCGUGCAGGAAGAAGGCCUUCGGGUUGUAAACUGCUUUUGUACGGAACGAAACGGCUCUGGUUAAUACCCGGGGCUAAUGACGGUACCGUAAGAAUAAGCACCGGCUAACUACGUGCCAGCAGCCGCGGUAAUACGUAGGGUGCAAGCGUUAAUCGGAAUUACUGGGCGUAAAGCGUGCGCAGGCGGUUUUGUAAGACAGGCGUGAAAUCCCCGGGCUCAACCUGGGAAUGGCGCUUGUGACUGCAAAGCUGGAGUGCGGCAGAGGGGGAUGGAAUUCCGCGUGUAGCAGUGAAAUGCGUAGAUAUGCGGAGGAACACCGAUGGCGAAGGCAGUCCCCUGGGCCUGUACUGACGCUCAUGCACGAAAGCGUGGGGAGCAAACAGGAUUAGAUACCCGGGUAGUCC
rnacentral:rRNA from 1 species